rnacentral:rRNA from 1 species
GAUGAACGCUGGCGGCGUGCCUAAUACAUGCAAGUCGAGCGAACAGACGAGGAGCUUGCUCCUCUGACGUUAGCGGCGGACGGGUGAGUAACACGUGGAUAACCUACCUAUAAGACUGGGAUAACUUCGGGAAACCGGAGCUAAUACCGGAUAAUAUAUUGAACCGCAUGGUUCAAUAGUGAAAGACGGUUUUGCUGUCACUAAUAGAUUGAUCCGCGUCGCAUUAGCUAGUGGGUGAGGUAACGGCUUACCAAGGCAACGAUGCGUAGCCGCCCUGAGAGGGUGAUCGGCCACACUGGCACUGAGACACGUUCCAGACUCCUACGGGAGGCAGCAGUAGGGAAUCUUCCGCAAUGGGCGAAAGCCUGACGGAGCAACGCCGCGUGAGUGAUGAAGGUCUUCGGAUCGUAAAACUCUGUUAUUAGGGAAGAACAAAUGUGUAAGUAACUAUGCACGUCUUGACGGUACCCAAUCAGAAAGCCACGGCUAACUCCGUG